UGUAAUUUGGUGUUUUGCACUUAAAUUUUUGAAAUUUAAAGAUUAGUUAAUUCUUUGAUUACAA
rnacentral:tRNA from 1 species